CCAACGAAACAACAAACCUCUCUGGAGUCCUGACAGAUCCCACUGGUGCGUUUAACUUUACGCUCAAAUUCUCUGACACGCUUUUGUAUGAUCCGAGUUACUGCGUUGUGGAAGCAAAUCUUCCGGCGGGAAACUGCUCUCUUUCUCCACCGAACGGUACCCUCACAGCCACAGUAAAUCUGGUCAACGUCUUCGUUACGAGUGCUUUAUAUUGGAAC
rnacentral:lncRNA from 1 species